GUUAUAGCUCCCCGAAACACUUGAGAUCACAAAGUUGAUACCUUGGCAGAGCCAGAGUCCCAGAGCCAAUGCCAUGCUCAACAGUUCGUUCAGACUUGAGGUAGCUGAUGAUGAGCUGCUGGCUGCCGCCCAAGCCCAGACAAGUUUGGUCCCACUCCCACCAGGUCGUCAAACGCAGAAUCAGGUGCUGUGCUGUCAAUCCAAAUUCUUAUUCCGCUUCUCCAAUCUACCGCUGCCUGCCGAAAGGUAGCCAACCGGAAUCCUCGACGCCGAAGAAACCUGCAAAAAAAAUUUGCUUCUUGGAAGUAAAGCCUCUGUUUCCUCUUCAGAUCAGAUCAGUAUUUUUCUGUUCCCCGAUGAAUCUGCUGCCUUUCCUUCCUGAGAUAUUCUACUCAGGUCCCGAUUAACUCGAGGAGGGUGUUGUAAGGGGCCGGUAUGCAUGCCCUGGGUUAGUACCACCUCGCCUAGCCAAGGGGGCCGUGUUGCACUUAUAAGGGCGGGCCUCCCUCCUCUCUUAGCAUAGGUUUUGAGAGCGAGGUGCCCGUCUGAAUAGGCUGCGCGCGAGCGCAUGAACGCCCGACGCUGGUGAUGGUGGGCUUUGGCGGACUGGCCCAGUGGGUGCGUUACAUAUGGUAUCGGAACCCGCAUUGCCGCUGCUGCCUGAGAGAGCUUUGGGCCUCUUAAGGGGGGUGGGAUGUAAGAGGCCGGUAUGCAUGCCCUGGGUUAGUACCACCUCGCCUAGCCAAGGGGGCCGUGUUGCACUUAUAAGGGCGGGUCUCCCUCCUCUCUUAGCC
rnacentral:misc_RNA from 1 species